UUUCUCUUGGUUUCAAUAGAGGAAGUAAAAGUCGUAACAAGGUUUCCGUAGGUGAACCUGCGGAAGGAUCAUUAUAGUAUUCUAUUGCCAGCGCUUAAUUGCGCGGCGAUAAACCUUACACACAUUGUCUAGUUUUUUUGAACUUUGCUUUGGGUGGUGAGCCUGGCUUACUGCCCAAAGGUCUAAACACAUUUUUUUAAUGUUAAAACCUUUAACCAAUAGUCAUGAAAAUUUUUAACAAAAAUUAAAAUCUUCAAAACUUUCAACAACGGAUCUCUUGGUUCUCGCAACGAUGAAGAACGCAGCGAAAUGCGAUACGUAUUGUGAAUUGCAGAUUUUCGUGAAUCAUCGAAUCUUUGAACGCACAUUGCACCCUCUGGUAUUCCAGAGGGUAUGCCUGUUUGAGCGUCAUUUCUCUCUCAAACCUUCGGGUUUGGUAUUGAGUGAUACUCUGUCAAGGGUUAACUUGAAAUAUUGACUUAGCAAGAGUGUACUAAUAAGCAGUCUUUCUGAAAUAAUGUAUUAGGUUCUUCCAACUCGUUAUAUCAGCUAGGCAGGUUUAGAAGUAUUUUAGGCUCGGCUUAACAACAAUAAACUAAAAGUUUGACCUCAAAUCAGGUAGGACUACCCGCUGAACUUAAGCAUAUCAAUAAGCGGGGAGGAAAA
rnacentral:rRNA from 1 species